AUGCCAACUACAGAUACCAAUGUGCCAACUGAUGUGUCAGCUAGCAGCGUGAUCACAAUCAAAACCACCACAGCUGCUCAAGAAGGCACCACUGCAACUGCAAGCCCCAAGGUGCCUACUCAUAGAGAUGCUUCAAUGCCAAACACAAAAGGAGGUGAUCCUACUACCAAAUUGUCGUCCCCAAGAGCCAGCACACAGCAGCCAAGCAAGCCUGCAUCACCAAGAGCUGACUUUCAGCAACCACUAACACAAGAGGAGGUGUUCAACAUUAUAAGUAGGUGCAAGCCUCUAAGGCCGCCAACUACAACACUACUGCGAACCAAGUCAGUGAACGAUGCACCUGUGUUUGUGCCGCAAGGAGAUGCCCUGGUCCUUGAACCCAUACGAAGGUCAAAGUCCUAUCAUGGUGACGGGGUCUGCGAUGCACCAUGUUUUGACCUCGGCAUAGAUGGUCAUGCUCCAGUACCUGCUCCAGCAGCAGAAACAACGGAAGCCAGUGUGAUUCGUAUUGAUGAGUGUGAGUUGGAACCAGCAGCUGUGAAUGAAGGAUGCGCUGAUGCUGAUGCUGGCAAAGCAAUAGCUCAAGAGCUAGAUGUUGAAUCACCAGAGAAUUGCCACACCCUGAUAUGCGCAGAACCAGAAGCUGGCACGAGCAGUUCUUUGGGACCACCUAUUGCACGAAGACAGAGGAGGGUAAUAAGGCCCACAGCAUCUCAAAGGUCUCCAUUCAUUGACUACAACAAGAAGAAGUCUUUCAGCUCAAAUGAGGCAGUGAACAAGCUUUACGCUGCCCUCUUGCAUUGGGUCAGGCAUCACAAAGGAGCAAAUGAUGAAGCUACCAGCCAUGAUAUAAUCAGGUAUGGUGAUUUCUACAUUUCUUUAAAGGAGUUAGUUGAUUCGAUGAAGCCGGUUCAAUGGCUGUCAAAAAUUGUUAUUGAGACUGGAAUCUUACACAUCAUGGAGAGCUUAGCAGAAGGGUCAAAGAAGGUUGUUAUGCCACUGAGGUUUUCGAUGAAUUUACAGCAAGGGAUCCACAACGUGAAUGAGAUAAACAAGAAGUUUGAUUACAAGAAUUGUCUCGACAAGGAAUUGGUCAUGUUGCCAGUGCUCGAGUGCGCUGAUGUAACCGAUAAGGAGGGAGGGAGGCAUUAUUGGGUCUUCAAUGUCAACUUGAGGGACGGACGCUUCGAAGUUCUUGAUUCAAGAAGGACGCUGGAUGACAUUGAGCUGAUGACCACCGCCUCUACCAUCGCGGGGGCAGUACGCCAGCUAUGGAGGAAGCAUUACCCAAAGUUCAGCAUCGAGCACUUCCAGAUUAUUGGCAUUGACGUACCGAAGCAGCUCGGCAAUAAUGAGUGUGGGCUGUUCGCACUGCUUAACGCCACCGAGUGGAAUGGUAGCCAACUGCCCAACUACGAACCCAAGGAAGUACUCAACAUCAGGAAGAAGCUGGCAUAUGAUUGGGUCACCAGUGUGCACAACACCGCCCCAUGGAGGAAGUUGCUGAGAUACGACAAGGACUAG
rnacentral:rRNA from 1 species